AGGAUAGUAGUUAAAAAAAAUAAUAUUUAAUUUGCAUUUAAAAGUAAUUUAUAAAAAUUUAUCUUG
rnacentral:tRNA from 1 species